rnacentral:lncRNA from 1 species
AUCCUAUUUCGCUUUUUACUAUGCUGAUUCUCACAGAAAACAUUUUUUAUUGUUAUUAGAGAUAAUUGCCUAUAUACUUCUCAGAACUUCAAAAAUAUUGCAUUUACCUCUACUUUUUUUUUUCUUUUCAAUAUACCCCUCAUAUGUUCAUCUGUUAUUUCAAAAUACCCCUACAACUACCGGAUGUUAAGUUAAUUUAGAUUAAAUAUGAGUUAAAUAUCUAUCACAGUUAAAAAAAAAUUAAAAUGCCACUUUUGUCCUUAACUUAAAGGCAAAUAAGAAAUAUUAGUGAUGGUAAAAAUGUAUAUUUGAAAAGACCAAAAAGCAAAAUAUUUUUUUGCUCCUAACUUAAGGACAAAUAAGAAAAGUCAGUUAUGAUAGAAGAGUAUAUUUGAAAAGGCAAAAUAAUAAUUUUAUAGAAAUAAUAGAAUUCAUUAACAGAUUUUAAUUAUAAGGGUAUAUUUGAAAUAGGUUGAAAUGUAAAAAAAAUAUUUUCAAUAUUAGCCUUAAAUAAGAAAGUCGAAAUUUUUUCAGAAAUAUAUAAGCAAUUGCCCCUUAUUAUUAUUAUUAUUAUUAUCAUUAUUAUUAUUUAAUCAAACUUGUAGGUCCUCGACAUCAAGCCCUCUUUCAAACACAUCUAAAACUCCACCCAAGAGACGAAGCCUCAAAUUUUUUUCGCUAGUCUUAGAUGUUUUUCGAGAGAAAGAUAGCAUUCUACCUAUUUUGUUUGUUUUUUUCAAAAAUAAAUUAAGUUGAAAAUGUGAAACAACUAGACUUCGAAUCUGAGACUUCAGUACCAAUCAUCAAAUCCGUUGGCACUUAUCCUAGGAACAGUCGGUACUAGUCUUAGAUGUUUUUCUUUUAGAGAAAGGUAUCAUGCUACCCGCUUCGUUUAUUUCAUUUUAGAAAUAAACUUAGCUGAAAAUGUGAAACAAUUAGACUUUGAAUCUGAGACCUCAGUACCAAUCACCAAAUCCAUUGGCACUUACGCUAGGACCAGUUGGUACUAGUCUUAGAUGUUUUUUUUUUUUUUUUUGAGAGAGAUAGGUAGCACGAUACCCGCUUCGUUUAUUUCAUUUAAAAGUAAACUUAGCUAGAAAUGUGAAUCAACUAGGAUUCGAAUUUGAGUCUCGAAUACCGACCAAGCUCUUUGUCACUUGCUUUAGGGACAGUCGGUUACUAGUCUUAGACGUUGAAACUACAUUUUUGUGGGUUUGCGCUGGAUGCCACGGAAUACUAUUAGCCACAAGUGUCAGCAUCUGUUUUUUUUUUUUGAGAAAAAGGUAGCACGCUACUCGCUUCAUUCAACGGAAUGAUGAAUUAGGCUACAAGGGUGGGGCAGCCAGG